UCUAAUACAUAUACCUGGUCUAUUUCCUAUUUGUCAUAACUUGAGAUUUUAGUGAUGUUUGUCAAAUGUACCUGAUUAUUGGUUGAUUUGUCAAACGCUAAGUGAUCAUUCUUCUUUCUUACUUAUUCUAAUUUGAGUUGAAAGAAUAAAAAGGCAAUCCGAACUAUUAGUUGAUAUGUGUUCAAGAAUUACAAUAUAUGCUAUGUACGUUCAAGAAUUAUUGGGAAAAAUUAGUGUUCUGUACGAUUUGUUCAUAAAAGAGAUAGUGAAACUACCUCUUAAUUUGUUUUCUGAUUUAUCUUCUGUUAUGUAAAAAAAUAUUAAUAUGGUGUUAUGCAGGUUGAGAAGCCGUCGCAAGUUUUAUGCUGAACAAGUCUGUCCCUUUUCUCUCAGACUCUUUGAAUACGAGAUGAACUCCGCCAAGAAUUGUGGCGCGAAAUGCAUCAAGAACUACGCGACCAAAAACGGGAGAUGGAAGAAAUAAUGAAGUAGUUUAUGAUGUCCAAGCAACCCAACAAUCAAGUCACAAUCCUGAUUAUGACGAUGAGAGUUGAUAUAUCUCAUGAACUCAUUUUGAAAACUCAGACACUUUAUGUUUAUUUUGGCUUCGUAUGUUGGAUUGUAUAUUUUGAUUAAUACUUUUGAGGUUUAUCAAUGAUGAUUUUCACUUUGGUCA